rnacentral:rRNA from 1 species
UACGGGGGAUGCAAGCGUUAUCCGGAAUCAUUGGGCGUAAAGCGCCUGUAGGUUGUUUAAUAAGUCUGUUGUUAAAGACUAGGGCUCAACCCUAGGAAAGCAAUGGAAACUACUAGACUAGAGUAUGGCAGGGGCAGAGGGAAUUUCUAGUGUAGCGGUGAAAUGCGUAGAUAUUAGAAGGAACACCGGUGGCGAAAGCGCUCUGCUGGACCAUUACUGACACUCAGAGGCGAAAGCUAGGGUAGCAAAAGGGAUUAGAUACCCCUGUAGUCCUAGCCGUAAACGAUGGAUACUAGAUGUUGUGCAUAUCGUACAGUAUCGAAGCUAACGCGUUAAGUAUCCCGCCUGGGGAGUACGCUCGCAAGGGUG